rnacentral:rRNA from 1 species
AAUAGAUACCCUGGUAGUCCACGCCGUAAACGAUGUCGACUUGGAGGUUGUUCCCUUGAGGAGUGGCUUCCGGAGCUAACGCGUUAAGUCGACCGCCUGGGGAGUACGGCCGCAAGGUUAAAACUCAAAUGAAUUGACGGGGGCCCGCACAAGCGGUGGAGCAUGUGGUUUAAUUCGAUGCAACGCGAAGAACCUUACCUACUCUUGACAUCCACGGAACUUUUCAGAGAUGAAUUGGUGCCUUCGGGAACCGUGAGACAGGUGCUGCAUGGCUGUCGUCAGCUCGUGUUGUGAAAUGUUGGGUUAAGUCCCGCAACGAGCGCAACCCUUAUCCUUUGUUGCCAGCGGUCCGGCCGGGAACUCAAAGGAGACUGCCAGUGAUAAACUGGAGGAAGGUGGGGAUGACGUCAAGUCAUCAUGGCCCUUACGAGUAGGGCUACACACGUGCUACAAUGGCGCAUACAAAGAGAAGCGACCUCGCGAGAGCAAGCGGACCUCAUAAAGUGCGUCGUAGUCCGGAUUGGAGU